GACGCGUUAUCAUGGUGGUCCUCUUACUGUAGGAUGAUGAACCUUUUUAUCUUUUCUCUCUUAUUAAUGAACUGAAGGGCGGUGAACAUCAUCAACAUAUCACAGUGAACAUCAUCAAAAACUAUUAUAUAUACAACAAUAAAUAAUCGAGGCAAAAAUUAAUAAGCUUUCGCCUGGAUUUGUUAAUCAAGCACCCGCUCGAGCAGACUUUACUUUUUCUAGAAUACAAGAAGCUAGCUUUUAGUUCCUUUUGAGAACUUGACUCAAACUGCCAUAACGACCAAAACUCCUCAGCAUAGUGGCAUGGCAGCAAACAAAAAAAAGAGACCUCAUUGAUGACCACACUUGGCUUACAUCAUAUGAACUAGAUCUCUGGCCAUUUAGCAUUGAUUACAGCAAGAAAAUAUAAGGCAAAAGUUAACCUAAGGAGACUUUGAUAAAUAUAUGCUUCGGAGAAAGCAAGGAAUUUGGAUGAUGGAAAUCAACGGAAGAGCUGAGAACAUGACUCAACAGAAGCAUGUCUGUUCGCAGCCUCCAAAGGCCAAGACAUUUGCCUUUUGACUGCAAAAAGACUUCAUUGUGGCCAAGUGUUUUGUAGUGGGCUGGCUGUUCUUCCUAUUCUAGAUGCCAUGCCUUGGUUAUAAUUUUAGGGUUCACUUUCAAAUCCCAGUUAUUUUUUUGAUGAUUUUCAAGAUUUUUUUACACACAAGAAUUAAAUAAAAUGAAGAAAAUAAUAAAAUUAGCUAAAAAGAUAUAUUUUUGAAUAUUUUUUCUAUUUUCUCAAAAUAUAUAAAAACAUGGUCAAAUGGGAUGAUAACAAUUGUGAAAAUAAUUUAUUUAUUUUUAAUUUCGUUGGGUGUAAUCUAUUCAUAGCUAAAUCGAAGGUAGGGAUAUAUCAUGGAUUUG